rnacentral:rRNA from 1 species
AUUGAACGCUGGCGGCAUGCCUUACACAUGCAAGUCGAACGGAUUGAAGGGGCUUGCUCCUUCAGUUAGUGGCGAACGGGUGAGUAAAGCAUCGGAACGUACCCAGUCGUGGGGGAUAACGUAGCGAAAGUUACGCUAAUACCGCAUACGAUCUGAGGAUGAAAGCGGGGGAUCGCAAGACCUCGCGCGCUUGGAGCGGCCGAUGUCGGAUUAGCUAGUUGGUGAGGUAAAGGCUCACCAAGGCGACGAUCCGUAGCUGGUCUGAGAGGAUGAUCAGCCACACUGGAACUGAGACACGGUCCAGACUCCUAAGGGAGGCAGCAGUGGGGAAUUUUGGACAAUGGGGGAAACCCUGAUCCAGCCAUGCCGCGUGAGUGAAGAGGGCCUUCGGGUUGUAAAGCUCUUUCAGUCGGAAAGAAAAGGCUCCGGAUAAUACCUGGAGUUGAUGACGGUACCGACAGUAGAAGCACCGGCUAACUACGUGCCAGCCGCCGCAGUAA